rnacentral:rRNA from 1 species
UAGGGAAUCUUCCACAAUGGACGCAAGUCUGAUGGGGCAACGCCGCGUGAGUGAAGAAGGUUUUCGGAUCGUAAAGCUCUGUUGUUGGUGAAGAAGGAUAGAGGCAGUAACUGGUCUUUAUUUGACGGUAAUCAACCAGAAAGUCACGGCUAACUACGUGCCAG